rnacentral:rRNA from 1 species
UGUAAGACUAGGAUAACUCCGGGAAACCGGGGCUAAUACUGGAUAACUUUUCUCUCCGCAUGGAGGGAGAUUGAAAGAUGGCUUCAGCUAUCACUUACAGAUGGACCCGCGGCGCAUUAGCUAGUUGGUGAGGUAACGGCUCACCCAGGCAACGAUGCGUAGCCGACCUGAGAGGGUGAUCGGCCACAUUGGGACUGAGACACGGCCCAAACUCCUACGGGAGACAGCAGUAGGGAAUCUUCCGCAAUGGACGAAAGUCUGACGGAGCAACGCCGCGUGAGUGAAGAAGGUCUUUGGAUCGUAAAACUCUGUUGUUAGGGAAGAACAAGUAUCGUUCGAAUAGGGCGGCACCUUGACGGUACCUAACCAGAAAGCCACGGCUAACUACGUGCCAGCAGCCGCGGUAAUACGUAGGUGGCAAGCGUUGUCCGGAAUUAUUGGGCGUAAAGCGCGCGCAGGCGGUCUUUUAAGUCUGAUGUGAAAGCCCACGGCUCAACCGUGGAGGGUCAUUGGAAACUGGAAGACUUGAGUGCAGAAGAGGAGAGUGGAAUUCCACGUGUAGCGGUGAAAUGCGUAGAGAUGUGGAGGAACACCAGUGGCGAAGGCGACUCUCUGGUCUGUAACUGACGCUGAGGCGCGAAAGCGUGGGGAGCAAACAGGAUUAGAUACCCUGGUAGUCCACGCCGUAAACGAUGAGUGCUAAGUGUUAGAGGGUUUCCGCCCUUUAGUGCUGCAGCUAACGCAUUAAGCACUCCGCCUGGGGAGUACGACCGCAAGGUUGAAACUCAAAGGAAUUGACGGGGGCCCGCACAAGCGGUGGAGCAUGUGGUUAAUUCGAAGCAACGCGAAGAAC